UGGCUCAGGAUGAACGCUGGCGGCGUGCCUAACACAUGCAAGUCGAGCGAUUCUCUUCGGAGAAGAGCGGCGGACGGGUGAGUAACGCGUGGGUAACCUGCCUCAUACACAUGGAUAACAUACCGAAAGGUAUGCUAAUACAGGAUAAUAUAAGAGAUUCACAUGGAUUUCUUAUCAAAGCUCCGGCGGUAUGAGAUGGACCCGCGUCUGAUUAGCUAGUUGGUAAGGUGACGGCUUACCAAGGCGACGAUCAGUAGCCGACCUGAGAGGGUGAUCGGCCACAUUGGAACUGAGACACGGUCCAAACUCCUACGGGAGGCAGCAGUGGGGAAUAUUGCACAAUGGGCGAAAGCCUGAUGCAGCAACGCCGCGUGAGUGAUGAAGGCCUUCGGGUCGUAAAACUCUGUCCUCAAGGAAGAUAAUGACGGUACUUGAGGAGGAAGCCCCGGCUAACUACGUGCCAGCCGCCGC
rnacentral:rRNA from 1 species